rnacentral:sRNA from 1 species
CCAACGAUUAUGUGCUGUGUUGAUUCUAAACUAAGUUUGUGUGAUGUUUUCCUUCACUUGGCGACUCAGCUGGGUUCCAGAGAGAAAGGUUUGGCAGCAAAGCAUGGGUUUGCGAGAAGUGUACCCUAGCUAGAGUGGGGCCGGAAGCAACCGGCCAUGGAAACUUAGCAAGUCAUUACGGAGAGAGCUCUGGGUCAGAGUCUGCCUAGAUGAGAGCAGACAUGGCCAGCUGGUGCCCUGCCCCCAUAGAGUGGGAUGGUACAUUAAAAAAAUAUUUUAUGCAACACAUGUGUCUGUGAAUUCCAGACUACAUGAAAAGAACUGUGUUUUAAGAACUGCCAUAAAACAAUUGACAGGUAACAAGGCUCUGUCUGUAUGGGGUGACACUUCUAUGCAUCUUCAGCAGCAAGAACUAUGGUGAGAUUGAAGUCACCUUUAUUUCAGGUCAACUACUAAACUAGGCAAUCUCCAGAUGUCUCACUGUGUAUUGGAGGAACUCAGGGCUCAGAAUUCAGAGGAAAGUUUGAACUCUAGCUCCAUACUACCUAGCUGGCUAGUGAUGAGGAAAGAUAAGGAAAGAUGGCCGGAAAGUCCUCUCUGCCUGGCCUGCUCCAAGUGAUCCAAUAUCACUUUUUAUUUUUUCUGACCUUGGCUGUCUCAUUCAUAGGCAUUUUCAAGUCUCUUUGUAAACCCUCUUUUACUACCCUGCCCCCAAAUCAGAGAUGGCCCUUCCAGAGCAUUUUCUGUUUAGGCUAAGCAUAAUCCUUGCAUGGACAACAGAAGCUUUGGCUUCUUCCAAGGUAUGGGUUAAAGCCUUGACAUUGUGCAGAAGAGCCUCGGGUAGCCCUUUGCUGGCUCAGCUCUGGACUUUCUGGUCUCUCAUUCUUAUGCUUCAACCAGAGUCUUCUUCCUGGAGUCCUAAAUAUGACUACAUCAGGAAAGCUGAUAGUGUCCAAGUCUACUUACAGAAUUUUUCAAAGAGACCCUGAGGAGAUUGCUCCUUUGGUAAAGCGUUUGCUGUGGUAAAAUGGAAACCUGAUCACCAGCACCUACAAAAGAAGCCGGGCAUAGUGGCACAGGCCUCUCAUCCCAGCGUUCAGAUGAUGGAGACUAAUGGAUCCCUGAGGCUUGCUGGUCUACCAGCCUCAAGUAGACUCAUUGAGCACCAGAUGAUUUUGCCAUCUCAAUGAAUACAUGAAGAGUAUUUUUUAAGGAAGUGUGUAGUGGUGGCCAUUUUCAAGGCAGAACACAGAAGCUGCAGAGAAUGGAAGCAUCAUGGAGAAAAUGGCAGGGAGACCCAAGACUCCAAGACAAGAAGGAUGAAGUAAAAGAAGCAAUCAGGAAAGAAGCAUUGCUGUCCAUGGGCAGAACUAUCCCAGGAAGUUAAUCGCGAUAAACACAAGGUGAGGAAAUAUUCCUAAGAGACAUUGUUUUUCUUUUGCAUGGCUAUAAAGAACAUAAUUGGUAUUUCUGGUUAAUCUCCCCAAAGCUGGCUUUUCACACUAAAUUUCUAGCAACUGCUAACAAUUUCCACUAUGCAUGCAGCCAGGAGCCUCUGAGAUUGAUACCAGACAAAGAAAGCCCUCAGGCGUUCUCAGCAGAGAAGAGUCACAGUCCUCUCCAUUUUUUAAAUAAGCAAAGAAGGAACAAAAGGACUCACUUGGUGAGUCUGGUGGUAAGACUGCGACUGGGAGGCAUCCACUCUGAAACAAAAUACUUGAGGUUAUGCAAUUUGUGUGAGGCUUCUGAGGAAUCUCUAUUUUGCAAGAUUUAUGACAUUAUGCUUUUUUGGCUGAGACUAUCAGACAAACAAAAUCCUUUUAGACAGUGCAAUGAAAAAUCUCUUCAGCUUUUUCGUGUUUCAAGCACAGGAGAAUGCCCAUCAUCCUUCAAAUGUACCAGGCAAAACAGCUUCUGCUUUUGUUUCUUCUGCCCCUUCGAUGACAUCUUCUGAUGCUACCUUUAAAAUUCUCACUCCAGACUUCACUCCCAUUCUCUGUGAAACAGUCCAUCAUGGAUGAAACAGUAUCCAGAUACGCUCCCUUGUCUAGAGAGUACAUGGGUCCUUAAUAUCACUUUCCUGUUCUCGUGUUUGCUUAUCUGCCUCUCUUUCUGGACAGACUGAGAGUAAUUUGAGGAAAGUGUACAAGCUGGAUCCUUGCAGAGUGUCUGUUUUUAAUUGCGCCGGAAAGCUAAUCCUUCUGUUGGGUAACUAGAACCCCUAAUGAGAGAGAGAUCAACAAAUGCUUGUUGCAUUAAGUUGACAACCCUUCACCCACUUGGACGUUUUCCUUUUGGCCAGUUCUGUCGAGGCAGCUUUACUCGUAUCAGUUAAAACUGUCUUGGUUUUGUAUGUGUCUGAUCAACUAAAAACAUGUGAAGAAUUCGCUUGCUUAUGUAGCCUGUGUACUUGGAGAGAGGGAAAAGAAGGGCUAUAAUUAGAUCCUCCAAGUGGUUGAAGACUGAAGCGAUUGAUAAAAACAAAGCAUUACUGUCAGCCGUGGAGAGCUCAGGCGUCCUCACUGUGUUCUGAAAUUAGAAUGGGAUGAUAAAUAGUUACUGUGUUAUUGGACAAUAAAAGAGCAACUUAUGGUAUGCAAUAUUAUGAUAGUCCCCCUACAAACGGAGCAAGAUGGCAACUCCAGGAAACGAAAACUAUAAAAGAAAAAAAAAUAGUAGAGCCAGGCAAGGUGGCUAGCUAGACAACAUAUGAAAACAGAGAAUUCAUUUACAUUAGUAAAGGCACUUGAAAACAUGCUAAAAGUUUCAAUUCAUCCGCAAUAAAAAGCAUAUUAUACUUAGAGAUUUAAUAACGACACUUGUAUAACAUCUGUCAGGAAAAUAAUAUAGUCUUCCUGAAAGACAUAAAGGAGGAAUUCAUAAGUAUAAGGCUCUGCUGUGCUCCUUGGAGGAUUGGCUCGCUAUUGCAGAAAUUUCAAAUAAAUGUAUAGAUAACCUCAACAUUCUAAAAAUGAGAAGUUAAACAAUAAUGAGAUUAUAUUUCCUUUCAAAUUGCCAAAGUAUAAAACGACAUGGAACAUUUUUUUUCUCAUUAUGUCUGAUAGGAUUAUAAAUUCUUAUAACUUUUUUUGGUGAAAAUUUUAAAAUGGAUAGCAUCCUUUUAAACUCCUAAGUCAACUUUCUGGCUUUAGAAAUUGGUUCUGCAGAGUCACCUUAAGUGACUGUAAUCUUGACCUGUCAGAUAGGUAAUAAAAAUUGUUCAUAGAAAUUGAGUUUAAAUUAUUUUUCAUCCAUUGAAGGAAAUGUUACGGAGAUAUAAAAUGAUGCAACAGCUGAAUAUAUCCAAUGAUAAAUCACGUUUUACAUAUCAGGUGUACAUAAAUAAACUGAAACAUGUUGUCUGGUGUGACUCUUUGCUUGUGAAAAUAUGUUGUGCUGGAAAGAUGGUUAGGUGGGCAAAGCACUAGCUGUAAAAAAGCAUGAGGACCUGAGUUCAGAUCUCCAGGACCCACGUACAAGGCCAGAAAGGCUACAGAACAUCUUUAAAUGCAGGAGACUGAGAAAGAAGAUCCUUGGGUCUCACUGUCCCAGCCAGUCUGAAACAAGCAGUUCUAGGUCCAGUGAGGGAGACUCUGCUUGAACAAUAAAGUAGAGAAAUUAUUCAGGAAGGUAUCUUAGUGUCAGCCUUUGGCCUCUACAUGAGAAUGGGUAUGUGUGAGGAAAC